rnacentral:rRNA from 1 species
GAUGAACGCUAGCGGCAGGCCUAACACAUGCAAGUCGAGGGAGAGGUUACCUUCGGGUAACCAAAACCGGCGCACGGGUGCGUAACGCGUAUACAAUCUGCCUUUCACAUAGGGAUAGCCCGAAGAAAUUUGGAUUAAUACCUAAUGGUAUAUAAGAGCGGCAUCGUUUUUAUAUUAAAGCUACGGUGGUGAAAGAUGAGUAUGCGUUCUAUUAGCUAGUUGGAGAGGUAACGGCUCCCCAAGGCGACGAUAGAUAGGGAUUCUGAGAGGGAUGUCCCCCACACUGGUACUGAGAUACGGACCAGACUCCUACGGGAGGCAGCAGUGAGGAAUAUUGGACAAUGGUCGGAAGACUGAUCCAGCCAUGCCGCGUGCAGGAUGAAGGUCCUAUGGAUUGUAAACUGCUUUUGUAAGGGAAGAAUAAGGAGUACGUGUACUUUGAUGACGGUACCUUACGAAUAAGCAUCGGCUAACUCCGUG